UGCUGGUGGGUUCCAUUUCACAAGGAUUAAAAUGUAUUUGCAGACAAAACCCCCGGAGGUAACCUGAGACAGAGAUUGCUACGUGACCUGGGAGCUGCCAAAAACAAAUGCCAAGACCGUCAGCUCAUUCCCAGGGCUGGGAACGAGGGACUCACCUGACAAGCCAAGCUCAGGUGGUCUAGGAGCCGAGGCUGGCUGUGCUGGACCCUUCACCAUGUGAACAUGCCCAGGCUCCAAUGCCUCAGCACAGCCCCAUGUCGGAGCAGCCCUGGACCUGCAGAACGGCACAUGGCAGAGUGGCAGUGAGCCCCUAG
ensembl:lncRNA